UACGAAGGGGGCUAGCGUUGCUCGGAAUGACUGGGCGUAAAGGGCGCGUAGGCGGUUUGGACAGUCAGAUGUGAAAUUCCUGGGCUCAACCUGGGGGCUGCAUUUGAUACGUGUGGACUAGAGUGGGGAAGAGGGUCGUGGAAUUCCCAGUGUAGAGGUGAAAUUCGUAGAUAUUGGGAAGAACACCGGUGGCGAAGGCGGCGACCUGGUCCUUGACUGACGCUGAGGCGCGAAAGCGUGGGGAGCAAACAGG
rnacentral:rRNA from 1 species